rnacentral:rRNA from 1 species
UGGGGAAUAUUGCACAAUGGGCGCAAGCCUGAUGCAGCCAUGCCGCGUGUGUGAAGAAGGCCUUCGGGUUGUAAAGCACUUUCAGCGGGGAGGAAGGCGGUGAGGUUAAUAACCUCAUCGAUUGACGUUACCCGCAGAAGAAGCACCGGCUAACUCCGUGCCAGCAGCCGCGGUAAUACGGAGGGUGCAAGCGUUAAUCGGAAUUACUGGGCGUAAAGCGCACGCAGGCGGUCUGUCAAGUCGGAUGUGAAAUCCCCGGGCUCAACCUGGGAACUGCAUUCGAAACUGGCAGGCUAGAGUCUUGUAGAGGGGGGUAGAAUUCCAGGUGUAGCGGUGAAAUGCGUAGAGAUCUGGGGGAAUACCGGUGGCGAAGGCGGCCCCCUGGACGAAGACUGACGCUCAGGUGCGAAAGCGUGGGGAGCAAACAGG